rnacentral:tRNA from 1 species
UGGGGCGUGGCCAAGCGGUAAGGCAGGGGACUUUGGAUCCCCGAUCGUUGGUUCGAAUCCAGCCGCCCCAGCCA